rnacentral:ribozyme from 1 species
AAGAAAGAAAGAAAGAAAGAAAGAAAAAAUGAAAGAAAAUUAGACAGAACAUCUUUCUGGUGUCUCUUUCUCGUGUCU